UGUGUGUGUGUGUGUGUGUGUGUGUGUGUGUGUGUGUGUGUGUGUGUGUAUAAGUGUUCCCAUGGCUGCCUGACCCACAUAUGUUUGUGACUUGUGUUUAAUCCUUUUUAAUUUCCCUGUAAGGAUGUUUUUCAUUAAAAGACAACUGUAUGUAUCCAUUUGAGGUCCCCCCCCCCCCUCCCCGACUCUUAGUUGUAUGCAAAUUUGUACAAAAACAUGAAAAAACAACAAACUGUGUUGAUAUUUAUGUAUUACAUAUAAUCUUGCUAUCCAGCAUUACGACAGAAUAGUAUCAUGUAAAUAAAAACUGUACAGAGAGACAUUA